CUGGGACACACAGGCACAGUUAGUUCAGCUUGGUUUUGCUCUCACCUCUUCGCUGAUUACAGCUCACAGUAAGUACUGGUUCACACAGUUCGUUCCUUGGGUGCUCACUCGCUUUCUCUUUCUCCACAGGCAGCGGCGUAAGUACAGGUUUCCUCGGUCUCUCCUCGUGUUACCCACUCUCUCUCCUUUUCUCUCCACAGGCAUCAACUUGGGCACACUAGCACAGUUAGUUUGCUUUGAAUGGCUCUCACCUCUGGGCUGAACACAGCGUACUGUAAGUACAGGUUCCCUCUGGUUCUCCUUGUGUUACUCACUCUCUCUUUCCUUUCCUCUCCACAGGUAUCAACUUGGACACAAA
ensembl:lncRNA